rnacentral:rRNA from 1 species
UACGAAGGGGGCAAGCGUUGUUCGGAAUUACUGGGCGUAAAGGGCUCGUAGGCGGCCAACUAAGUCAGACGUGAAAUCCCUCGGCUUAACCGGGGAACUGCGUCUGAUACUGGAUGGCUUGAGGUUGGGAGAGGGAUGCGGAAUUCCAGGUGUAGCGGUGAAAUGCGUAGAUAUCUGGAGGAACACCGGUGGCGAAGGCGGCAUCCUGGACCAAUUCUGACGCUGAGGAGCGAAAGCCAGGGGAGCAAACAGG